AUUUUUUAGAUUUGAAAAAUAUCGAUUUUAAGCCAAGUUAUGACGAUUUGAAGGGUGGUGGCCUAGAAAUCCAAAUUUUCCGGCGGUUUCUAGGCCACCAAUAUCAAAACUGAUAGGAAAUGACAACUUGAGUUAGACGGAAGUUUCAGA
ensembl:ncRNA M70.10 ncRNA